rnacentral:rRNA from 1 species
AACAAACGCUGGCGGCGUGCCUAAUACAUGCAAGUCGAACGGGGAAAGCUUUCGGGUGAGUACUAGUGGCGCACGGGUGAGUAACGCGUGGAUAAUCUGCCUUGAAGAGGGGGAUAACCAGUCGAAAGAUUGGCUAAUACCGCAUAAGACCACAGGAACUGAGGUUAUAGAGGUCAAAGGUUUUUCGCUUCAAGAUGAGUCCGCGUAAGAUUAGCUAGUUGGUGAGGUAACGGCUCACCAAGGCGACGAUCUUUAACUGGUCUGAGAGGAUGAACAGUCACACUGGAACUGGGACAAGGUCCAGACUCCUACGGGAGGCAGCAGUAGGGAAUAUUGCACAAUGGAGGAAACUCUGAUGCAGCGACGCCGCGUGAGGGAUGAAGGCCUUCGGGUCGUAAAGCUCUGUCGCAGGGGAAUAACACAAUGAAGGUACCCUGUAAGAAAGGAUCGGCUAACUUCGUGCCAGCCGCCGCCGUAAUAC